CCUGAGAUUAGAGUCACAUCCUGACACAGGUCUGGUCUAAUGUUUUGGAGGUCUGGGAGAGAAUCUGCUGGUCUUGAUUGACUGGCAAGGCAGCACCCCCAGUAGUGUCCAUGUCAGAAACAAGC
ensembl:snoRNA